UACGUAGGGUGCAAGCGUUAAUCGGAAUUACUGGGCGUAAAGCGUGCGCAGGCGGUUCUAUAAUUCAGAUGUGAAAUCCCCGGGCUCAACCUGGGAACUGCAUUUGUGACUGUAGAGCUGGAGUCCGGCAGAGGGGGAUGGAAUUCCGCGUGUAGCAGUGAAAUGCGUAGAUAUGUGGAGGAACACCAAUGGCGAAGGCAGCCUUCUGGGCCAACACUGACGCUCAUGCACGAAAGCGUGGGGAGCAAACAGG
rnacentral:rRNA from 1 species